rnacentral:rRNA from 1 species
AUUGAACGCUGGCGGCAUGCCUAACACAUGCAAGUCGAGCGGAUGACGGGAGCUUGCUCCUUGAUUCAGCGGCGGACGGGUGAGUAAUGCCUAGGAAUCUGCCUGGUAGUGGGGGACAACGUUUCGAAAGGAACGCUAAUACCGCAUGCGUCCUACGGGAGAAAGCAGGGGACCUUCGGGCCUUGCGCUAUCAGAUGAGCCUAGGUCGGAUUAGCUAGUUGGUGGGGUAAUGGCUCACCAAGGCGACGAUCCGUAACUGGUCUGAGAGGAUGAUCAGUCACACUGGAACUGAGACACGGUCCAGACUCCUACGGGAGGCAGCAGUGGGGAAUAUUGGACAAUGGGCGAAGGCCUGAUCCAGCCAUGCCGCGUGUGUGAAGAAGGUCUUCGGAUUGUAAAGCACUUUAAGUUGGGAGGAAGGGCAGUAAGUUAAUACCUUGCUGUUUUGACGUUACCGACAGAAUAAGCACCGGCUAACUCUGUGCCAGCCGCCGCAGUAACAC